CGGAGUGGGAGUUACAUCACCAGGAGUCAAUUUCCUGGUUCUCCAGCUUGCCGUUGGCAGAUCUUGGAACUUGUAGGCCUCUAUAAUUGUGUGAGCCAAGUUUCAUUAUAUGUCUCCUCUUACAUCUCUCUAUAUUUCUCUCUAUAUAUGUUUCUCUGGAGAACCUAAUAAACCAUCUUUCUAUUACACCAUCCUCAUUGUGUUAGCUUUUGGCUCCAGGCAUAUUCACUCAUGGUUUCAAGGUGGCUACAGCAGCCCUGAGCAUCAUAUCCACACAAAAGUAUCCAAUGGCCUAAGAAGAAACAUCUUUAUAUUUCUUUUGAACAGCAAACAGAACUUUCCAGAAGCUCCUCCCGCAGAGUCCUCUAUGCAAACACUAAUGAAGCCACCACCUUGCUGAGAAGACUUGCCCUCGAUCCCUCCUGCUCACACGAUCAAUCGUGCCUUACUCACGAAGCCUCAGGGCUGCAUGGUGCCAAGCUCGGGCACUCAUCUGCCUGCCUGUCCCAGGCCUGUGGGCUGUGUGUCACCUGUGCUAAGGCCCUGGGCUCAGAGAGCUUCCAUCCGAGCUGGAAGCAACACUGCAGAGAAGCUAAAUAGCCCACCCCAGCCUCUGCCGGGGACCCAGGAGGAAGCAGUAACGGCGAGGUGUGCAGCCACGGGGGCUGGUGAGGGUCAAGUUUCAGGUGAAAUCACUAGACAAGAAAUAUCAUUCAGACUGCCUAGGGCUGUGUUCUGAAGCUACAGAGGUACCUUGAUGUCAGGAAGAAUAGCAAUGGCAGAAAAUGUUUCAUCUUGCAUGCCAGCACAGACCAAUGGCAAUGGAUGUCUGAAUCACUGGGUUAACAAGGAAAAGAAUGCUGUGCUUAAGUAGCAAUGUCUGCUCUGAGCAUGGCAGGAGAAAUUAUUGGCACCUCUGUCAGAUAUUUGAUAUCUAUUUCUUAAAUAGAAUACAUACAUAUUCUAAGAACAAGAAAAGCAUAAACAAAUUAAUAAAUUACUUUCUGACUUCUAAACCA
rnacentral:lncRNA from 10 species